CCUACGGGGUGCAGCAGUGGGGAAUAUUGCACAAUGGGGGAAACCCUGAUGCAGCGACGCCGCGUGAGUGAAGAAGUAUUUCGGUAUGUAAAGCUCUAUUAGCAGGGAAGAAAAAAGAUGGUACCUGACUAAGAAGCACCGGCUAACUACGUGCCAGAAGCCGCGGUAAUACGUAGGGGGCAAGCGUUAUCCGGAUUUACUGGGUGUAAAGGGAGCGUAGACGGUAUGGCAAGUCUGAAGUGAAUGCUCAGGGCUUAACCCUGGGACUGCUUUGGAAACUGGAAGACUAGAGUGCUGGGGAGGUAAGUGGAAUGCCUGGUGUAGCGGUGAAAUGCGUAGAUAUUAGGAGGAACACCAGUGGCGAAGGCGGCUUACUAGACAAUAACUGACGUUGAAGCUCGAAAGCGUGGGGAGCAAACAGGAUUAGAUACCCUUGUAGUC
rnacentral:rRNA from 1 species